AUAAAAUGUAUGUCUGAUUAAGUGGAAGCUGAACUGAUAUUCACUCUCAUUCUGAAGUUCGAGCUAGUUUCUUCUCUUUCUCGAACCCUAGAGAUUUCCUUUCUCUCUCGAAACCUUGUCGCUCUUAGGUUUGAUUGUUCUUCUUUCGAGUCCUCUUCGGUCUGAUUUGUGCUCUCUCGAACCCUCUAUGUGCUUUGGUUCUUCCUCGCCUCUCUCGCACUCACUCCCUCUCAUUUAUUGUCGCACUCACUAGUUGUUCACCAUUACUCUAAUCUUCUUCUUCGCACUUACUUCACUACUUUGUUCUUUGCAGGUUGAAAUUCACCUUCUAAUUGGUUUUUUCCAACUCCAAAACCCCAGUUUGGUUUCUUCCAACUCCAAUGUAGUUUCACUUCUCGAAGUCGACGACGCCUUGAAAUUCCCUACAUAACCAACAAGAAUGCAGACGAAGAUCUCGAACUUAGAACCACCGUCGAUGACAAAGGACCGGUAGGGAAGAGGAUGAAGGACGCCAUGAUGAAGCGUCCGUGUUCGGUCUUCUCUUUCGGCCUUCUCGUUCGGCCUUCUCGUUCAUCAUUCUUGUUGGUGUGGUUUGGUGCAUUGAGGUCACCAAGUUCGUUGUUGUGGAGCUUAAGGUGACGCCUUCAUAGUCCCAUCAUUUGGUAAGUAAUCAUUCUCUUCCUUCAUUCCCUAGUAAUUCCUAAAAUCGUAAAACACAAGAACCCUAAUUUGCAUUCCUUUUAAUUGGGACAUUUGUGGUUCGGCAAGCUGUGUUUCAUUCUUCCCAGAGUUUGAUUGAGGCAUUGUGUUUCGGUUUAAGAACUACACUUCAUCUUGCGAAGUCGUAUAGUGAAGGAAUGAGAGACAAGCGACCUGCAAUGCGAAAAUGUCGAUGAACCCCUUUUUGCGAUAUUGCCCUGGAAGAGGCCCUUCACAUAAGAGAAUCUGGCUUGGCCUUCGAGGUUGUCGUUGUUAGCAUUAAACCCAUCCAAUGGGUAUAUACUCUCCAAACGGGUCUUGCCAUGGGAGCCAACACAUGCAUCCAUAUCGAGUUCACGACUUUCCUAUUCGCUCUCUUUGUUUCCAAAAUCUUCAGAAAGCUCGUGGAGAGAUGCCAAGGAAAAUUUGCAAUGAAGGUAUGGAAAGGUGUUGGAUUAUGCACUCAUAUAUUGGAGGCACAUAUAUUGGAGGGACAUAGAGAUUGAUGAUUUUUUUAUUCACGAUUUUGGCUAUCUUGUUGGCUUCUGCUUGAUUUCUGAGACUGGUUUGAUACAUUUCUUUCAUCACUUUUUCAUUCCUAUAUUAAAAAAGUUUUUUUUACUCAUUUUCAUUUUCAUGCAUGUGAUAAUCUCUCUGGCUUGUUCUAAUUCCAUUAAGUUAGUUAAGGUCCUCUAGUUUUUCAUAGGAUUGAGAAUAUGGUGUAUCAAUGUUAUGUUACGAUGACAAUUGAAGAAUAGUGUUACAUCCAUCUAGUUUCAUUUAGAGGAUGUUAUUUUUGGUCUUUGAAGAGUUUUUGAAAGAGAUGAAAAACCUGUGACUGGAGUGUCACACAUUGUUUGUGACUUUUGGAGAUAAUCAGGUAUAUUCUUGUUAAUUUUAGCUUUGAUACUAGAUUACCAUUAUACAUUCAAGAAUAAUGAUAAACUUCUUUGUCAUUUGGUUUUACAAUUUUUGUUCACUUUUCUUUCCCAUGCAGCAUGUGAAACAUCGUUGGUGCUUCCCUUAGGGGGUUCACUUAUGGAGAAAAAUGUUUAUUCCUUGCUAAUGAUUGGCAUGCCAACCUAGUUCUAGUUUAUGCAUGUCUAACUUUAUCCACCUUUUACCAAUCUCUCUUUUCUCCCCUGCCCUUUUAUUUUGUCAAUUUAGUUAUAAUUAUGCUUCAUUAUGACAUAUGACUUUCACAUUUUAAAAUUUCCUUUGGAGCUUGUUCUGAUUUAUCUUAGAAGAUAUUAUUAUCUUAAUAAGGAUGAGACUAGUACUUGAUUCUGGUGAAGACUUUUGAUAGUGAAGUAUCGUUCACAUGGGUAUAUAAGGAUGCUCAAAGUAUAUUAGUGAUACAUAAUAUAGAACAUGAGGUGAGCUGUUUCAUUUUAUUUUAUAUUACUAGAUAGAGAUAUUAUGAAGCACAAUAACAUCAUGCUUUAAUCUCUCUGUUUCUUAAAAUUAGAUUUCAAGUGUCACCAACAAAACAGGGGUCUCUAUAAGUUCUAUUUUAUACUUUUCAAAUAGAUGCCCUCAGUUUGGCUACCUUUUAUUAGUGUUCAUUAAGUCACAUGCUAGAAUUUAGAAACCUAUUAUGAAUGACAAAUAAUAAAAGUUCUUUGUUAAAAAGUGAGAUUAUUACUUGUAUACAGGAGAAAAUAUGAGCUAUUAGAAGCAGUGUAAGAAAUGCCAAUAUUAGAAAAUAAUUAUAAUGAGUUUGGCAGUCACGAAAUUUACAUAAGAGCUUUUAUUAAAGGGUUCUCAAGUGUUUUUCCUUUUUUAAUAUUUAAUAUGUUGCUAUUUAAUAUUUAUGUUAUUAAAAAAUAAUUACUUAUAUUUAUUUUCAAUAUAAUAAAUAUUUAUAUUUUAACUUGCAAUAACGAAUAUAAAAAAACUGCUUAAUAAUCCAUGAUUUGUUCUUCGUUCAAAAGUUCAUAGAUUUAGCUCUUUGUAUUUGAUUUUAUAUUUGUUCUUGUUUUUUUCUUUUCUUUUGGUGGAUUCUGACUUGUUUUGCAUUGAAUGAGAAGGUAUAUAAUGCAAGAAAGUUUGAGAAUUGCAAAUAAAACUGAGAAAGCCUCAACCAAAGGUAUGACUUUGUUGUGCCUUAGCUCAAUUCUCCAUAUCUCGUUUCAUUUAGAUUAUAAUAUUUCAUAACUUACUAGGUUUUCAUUAAUUAUAAUAUUAUAUAAUUUUGCCCCAGAAAAUAAAAAAGCUGAAACUGACUUGUAUAGUUUAAUUAAUUUUAUUGUAUGCAUGUAUAUUUGUUGUGGUGUAUGUUUUCACCAUUCCCUGUUAUGGUGUUAACCCAUGACCACUUAAGUCAUGGAAUCCCAUAACUCAUCAUUUAUUGACUAUAGAUAGAUUAAUUCAUAGUUAAGUCUUUUUCAUUUGAUUGCAUAACUUGCAUAUGUAUACAACUUCUAAUAAUGAUAAUUUAUUUUUCAAACAAAUAUAGUACCUAAAUUAAAACUUUUAAUCUCUUGAGUUGAGUAAGUAUGUUAAAUUACGAUGUAAAGUGAAAUUAUAAAUUUUCAAGAUGGAAUCACACUUUCAGGAUCUAUCGUUAGUUUAUAAAUUCCCCCUUGGUUUAGUGUGACAUUUGAAUUGAGUGUUUAUGGCCUGAAAAAUGUCUAUCCAUUUUAAGUUAGGUAUCUCCUUUCAAUCAUAUUUUAUCCAUGUGGAAGAUUCAGACUCAAAAUUUUAAAGGUUACCCAAAACAUUGGUUAAAGGAUCUAAGUUUAGUUUCACUUAAACCAACAACAUAUUGUUCAAGAAGUUUGUAUCAUUAUAAACCUUGUAAGAUGGUGUUUGUAAGGUAUGAGAAGCUAUUCUGUUCUGGUUUGAAUAAGUUGUAUUGUUUGCCAAAUUGGUAUCUUUGUUUGGGGUUUUACUUCGUUAGAUGGGGUCCAACUAUAAUUGAUUUUGUGUUGUUAUGUUAUAAUCUGGAAAAUUAUAUUAUUACAUGACUUAGAAUAAGUUAUGGGUGGAUGGAUUAUCUUUUAUACGAUAAAUGAUGUUUGGGUUGGGAUUAUCUUAUAUUGUUGUCAUCCUUUCUUCAUCAAAGAACAAAAGAGUUAUUGGAUAUUCCUUUGGAGCCAUUGUGAGGAUAGCAAGCCUUUCAUCUUCACUGACAAUCCCUUGAUCACAUUCAAUAUGUAGAUGCAUUAUAUGCUCGUCAUGCAUCAUUAAAUGCAUGUGGCUUAGAUUUUCAUAGCUUUUAGGAAUGGGGUUGAUUUUCAGACAAGACAUCAAAUUCAAGCUUUGUUAGAUUAUGUUAUUAUAUAUAACUGAAUCAAUACAAAUCUCAUUUUGACGAUAUGCUUGUUCAGUUCUCCAUACAAGUGUAAUUAUGCACAUUACCUUUCCAUUGAUAUUUCAAAAUUCUUUUUUAGAACUCAUUUUCCUGUUCUAUAUACGGAUUUUUGCCCUAUAUAAUCUGUAUAUAAUCAAAUAUUAUAUACGGAUUUUGGGCCUUAUAUACGGAUUUUGACUGUAGAUAAUGACGUUUUUUCUUGUAGUGAUUGGAAAACCGUUACCUCAAGCAAAUCACUACUCCAUAAAUCACACAAAUAACAACAUUACAUGUUCAAACAGUUACUUACCUCGUCUCUCUUUAACAAAGCAUCAAUUUCUUUAGUGUCAUAAUUUAACAAAUGAAAUCUCAAAAUCUGUGGGAAAACCUUGUGAGAAGAAUGGGCAUACAAACCAAGGUGUUCAUACGUCCAAAGCUACAAUCAAAGUAUUAAAACCAUUACAAAAAGUUCUAACAAUAAACUUACUUAAUAAAACAAACAACCAAAAUUUACUAAUACCUAUAAAACAACAGCGCUGCCACUUAUGCUCAAAGAAUCCAGUAAGUAUUUUUUGGUUACAUCUAUUUAGACUAUUUACAAUAUAUGAAUGUACAGCACUACUCUAAUCAUAAUUAGACAAAUUAUUUAACUCAACUAGCAUUAAACAAGGCAUGUUAGAAAUAUGUUUUGUCUUCCUAGAAAAAAAGAACACCACAAAACAAAUUAAUAUAUACAAACGACAAACAACAUCUACAUCAACAUCAUCAUUAUGUACAAGGACAUUAAACAUCUUAAAUAACUCUUUCAAUGAGGAUUUUUUACAAUUAGUAAAAUGUUCACCUACUUUACCCACAAUUGAUUCAUCCAAAGGUACCUCCACUCCAAAGCCUAAACUAAUCACCACAUCUUGCACAUUCAAAGGAACCAAUUGUUUCCUAACUCUAAAUGCUUGGUGGUGGGGAAUUCAUCGACGAACCAUGCGUUUCAACAAUUUUAGGUUCAACUCUAUAGGAUCUUGAAUUCGUAAACACAUCUUAAAUGGAGUUCAAAAAAUCCAGUUCUGAUGUCUCAAUUGCAGUAAGGAUUUCAUUUGGCUAAUAUAGGAUGUACCCAUCCAAGCCCUCAUGCGCCACUGUCCAAUAGUUGAAAUUUAUUACACUCAAUUUAUAAAACAAAGCUCCAAAACAAGUAACAAAACACAAAACUUCAAAUUCUACUUACAUUGCUUUUACAGGGUACCAUUUUCAGUUGUACUAAUACCGUCAAUCAAAUAUUAACCUAACAUAAAUUACCAAUGGAGAUAAUAUUAACUUCAAUGCAGUUGCUAAAAAGAAAUGUAUCAGUCAUAAAAUUUAUAGCAGAAACUGAUUAACUAAAGAUAAGUAUGGAUGUAAUCUCUAUUCAGUGUUGGUUCCAAAAAGAUUGCAUGAAUGUAAACAACGCACUAAAGAGUAGUUGGUCUAAAAAGAAUACAAGUCACAGUCUUUAAAAGGUUUCGAAUUUCAAUUUUAGGAUUGGUGAAAAUAUGGUUAAAAGGGGAUAGAGCAAAAGAAAAUGUCAAACUGGGUUAUAGCACAUAUCAAAUGUCAAAACAAAAAUACGAUGCAGAUAUACUCACCAGCGCACCCAAUAACCAAAUCCACAACGGCAACCGCGGAAAAAACCUAACCUUUCACACUUCCGAACCACCGCACCGAACACCUAAACGCAAAAGAAACGCACAAUAAAGGCAAUGCACAAAACAACUAAAGGCACACUAAAGACAUCGAAAGCACCUCUCCGUUCGACGGUUGCCCAAAAAGCCAGACUUCCACCAACGACUUCAAAUGGCGAAUAGAGAGAUACCUUCUUGAGACACAGCGUUUUUGACAGAGGUCGUUGUGCCGUUGAGAGAGAUCGUUUUUGAGAGAGUUGGUUUUUGAGAGAGAGCGUUUUUCAGAGAGUUGCAAGAGUUCUUUCUUCAGUGAGUUGCGUUUCUGGAAUGUGCCAAGAGAGGUUUAUUCACUCAAACCUUCUUCCAACAAUGCCCUCAGUAAUUCUGAAAAUUCAUUUUUUAAAUUAAUAUCAGACAACGAAUGAGACAACGCCACGUGAUAUUGUAAAAAACAUUGUCAAAUUAUGAGCAAACUUGUGAAAGUUGAUCAAUUUGAAAAGAUUCAAAGCCUGCUUGGAGGUAUGAAAGCCACUUAAGUAAGCUAUGACGUUAGAUUGUCCUAUUAUU